rnacentral:rRNA from 1 species
AACGAACGCUGGCGGCAUGCCUAACACAUGCAAGUCGAACGAGACCUUCGGGUCUAGUGGCGCACGGGUGCGUAACGCGUGGGAACCUGCCCUUAGGUUCGGAAUAACUCCCCGAAAGGGGUGCUAAUACCGGAUAAUGUCUUCGGACCAAAGAUUUAUCGCCUUUGGAUGGGCCCGCGUUGGAUUAGCUAGUUGGUAGCGUAAAAGCCUACCAAGGCGACGAUCCAUAGCUGGUCUGAGAGGAUGAUCAGCCACACUGGGACUGAGACACGGCCCAGACUCCUACGGGAGGCAGCAGUGGGGAAUAUUGGACAAUGGGCGGAAGCCUGAUCCAGCAAUGCCGCGUGAGUGAUGAAGGCCUUAGGGUUGUAAAGCUCUUUUACCCGGGAUGAUAAUGACAGUACCGGGAGAAUAAGCUCCGGCUAACUCCGUG